rnacentral:lncRNA from 1 species
UCUGGCUCUCCAUUGUGCUGAUCUCUGUGGCUCCUGUUGCGUCAGGAUCAUGCUGUCUUGGUGUUGUGUGCUGUGUCCCUG